rnacentral:rRNA from 1 species
UGAAUACGAGAUGCUACGGCGUCGAAGCAGUGUAUGUCAGACUUCCAAGAAAAGCUCGCAAUGUCAUAAAUAAAGAAUGCCUGUACCAUAACCGACACAGGUGGGUAGGUAGAGUAUACUAAGGGGCGCGAGAUAACUCUCUCUAAGGAACUCGGCAAAAUAACUCCGUAACUUCGGGAGAAGGAGUGCCUUCUUUAAGAAGGUUGCAAUAACAAGGUCCAAGCAACUGUUUAUCAAAAACACAGGUCUCCGCUAAGUCGUAAGACGAUGUAUGGGGGCUGACGCCUGCCCAGUGCCAGAAGGUUAAAGAAGUUGGUUAGCUUUUGCGAAGCUGAUGACUGAAGCCCUGGUGAACGGCGGCCGUAACGAUAACGGUCCUAAGGUAGCGAAAUUCCUUGUCGGGUAAGUUCCGACCCGCACGAAAGGCGUAAUGAUUUGGAUACUGUCUCGGAGAGGGACUCGGUGAAAUAGACUUGUCUGUGAAGAUGCGGACUACCUGCACCAGGACAGAAAGACCCUAUGAAGCUUUACUGUAACUUGAAAUUGAAAUUGGACUUUAUUUGCGCAGUAUAGGUGGAAGGCGUUGAAAGUAAUCUUGCGGGAUUAGUGGAGCCAUCAGUGAGAUACCACUCCUAUAAUGUUAGAUUUCUAACUUUGGAUCAUGAUCUGGUCAAAGAACAGUUUCAGGCGGGCAGUUUGACUGGGGCGGUCGCCUCCCAAAUGGUAACGGAGGCGUACAAAGGUUUCCUCUGAACGGGUAGAAAUCGUAUCUAGAGUGUAAAGGCAUAAGGAAGCUUGACUGUGAGACCUACAAGUCGAGCAGGGACGAAAGUCGGUCUUAGUGAUCUGACGGUGCUGAGUGGAAAGGCCGUCACUCAACGGAUAAAAGUUACUCUAAGGAUAACAGGCUGAUCUCCCCCAAGAGUUCACAUCGACGGGGAGGUUUGGCACCUCGAUGUCGGCUCAUCGCAUCCUGGGGCGGUAGUACGUCCCAAGGGUUGGGCUGUUCGCCCAUGAAAGCGGUACGCGAGCUGGGUUCAGAACGUCGUGAGACAGUUCGGUCCAUAUCCGGUGUAGGCGUUAGAAUAUUGAGAGGAGUCUUCUUUAGUACGAGAGGACCGAGAAGGACAUACCUCUGGUGUACCAGUUAUCGUGCCAACGGUAAACGCUGGGUAGCUAUGUAUGGAGAGGAUAACCGCUGAAAGCAUCUAAGUGGGAAGCCCACCUCAAGAUGAGUAUUCUC